rnacentral:misc_RNA from 1 species
UCAUUGCACCCCUCAAGCGUAGCUUGGUCUUGAGCCAUCGUCCUUGAGGACGGACUUGAAAAUGAGUGGCGGUCCGAUGUGACUUCAAGCGUAGUAAAAUUUAUCCCGCUUUGGAAGUGCAAAUCGGGAUUUGCCAAAUCCCACCCAUUAUUUUAUCAAUGAUUGACCUCGGAUCAGGUAGGGAUACCCGCUGAACUUAA